rnacentral:miRNA from 2 species
UCGGUGGGAUUUUCGUCCGUCU